ACAUGUCUACAACAUAACGUUAUUGCACUGGAUCCCAUUAGAACUCCGCAGUUAAGCGCACUCAGGCUAGAGUAGUAUUGGGAUGGGUGACCACCUGGGAAGUCCUAGUAUUUUACAUGCC
rnacentral:rRNA from 1 species